UAAGAAUAUUCCGCAAUGGACGAAAGUCUGACGGAGCGACGCCGCGUGGAUGAAGAAGGCCGAAAGGUUGUAAAGUCCUUUUGUCAACGAAGAAUAAGUGUGGGAGGGAAUGCCCGCAUGAUGACGUUAGUUGGCGAAUAAGCCCCGGCUAAUUACGUGCCAGCAGCCGCGGUAACACGUAAGGGGCAAGCGUUGUUCGGAAUUAUUGGGCGUAAAGGGCGCGUAGGCGGUUUUGCAAGCCCGGCGUGAAAUACUGGAGCUUAACUCCAGAACUGCGCUGGGAACUGCGAGACUUGAGUUAUGGAAGGGAAAUUGGAAUUCCAGGUGUAGGGGUGAAAUCUGUAGAUAUCUGGAAGAACACCGGUGGCGAAGGCGAAUUUCUGGCCAAUAACUGACGCUGAGGCGCGAAAGUGCGGGGAGCAAAC
rnacentral:rRNA from 1 species